GCGCGAAACCUCCGCAAUGCGGGAAACCGUGACGGGGUCACCCCGAGUGCCCCCGAAAGGGGGCUUUUCCCCGCUGCAAGGAGGCGGGGGAAUAAGCGGGGGGCAAGUCUGGUGUCAGCCGCCGCGGUAAUACCAGCCCCGCGAGUGGUCGGGACGUUUACUGGGCCUAAAGCGCCCGUAGCCGGCCCGGCAAGUCCCUCCUGAAAGCCCCGGGCUCAACCCGGGGAGCGGGGGGGAGACUGCCGGGCC
rnacentral:rRNA from 1 species